AAAAGAACUUUGAAGAGAGAGUUCAAGAGUACGUGAAACCGCCUAGAGCCAAACGGGUGGAUCCGCAAUGUCGGCUCGGGGAAUUCAGCCGGUCCCGCGUCACGAGCUACGGUUGGCCCGUCUUGGAUCCGCAAGGACCUAGGCCUCCCGGUAAAACUGCUCGUCGGCGGCCGGUGCACUUUCUCCGGGCUGAGCGCCACGACCGGUUCCGCGCAAGCGGUCAGACGAGGAGACGGGCAAGGUAGCCGUUGGGGUGGCCUCGCGCCGCCCCCGACGGUGUUCUAGACCGUCUCCGCCCGACCCGUCGCGGGACCGAGGACUCGCCGCCGCGCCUCCCGGCUUCCGGCCAUCUGCGGGUGAUCGACCUCGGCGUCAACUGCUUCGCAGUGCGUCGAAACUGCAUCUCGCGGAAGGGCCGGUCUGCCGGCUGGAUCGCGUGUACGGUCAGUGGCGAUUCGGUCGGCCCUCCACCCGAC
rnacentral:rRNA from 1 species